rnacentral:lncRNA from 1 species
AUGAUGGAAGCUCCCGGCUGGGAUUGGGGUCCAGUCAGCUCCCAGGUGGAAGGAGAAGGAGGAGUGGCAGUUACUGAGCCUCUCUCUUGUGCUCUGCAGUCUUCCACCCACGGUGAAAUCCAGCAAAUCCACAGCAAGCUGUAUACAUUGUCAUUGAGCUUUUCCAACAAAGCAUUCGGUGGACAAAAGAAAGAUGAUGCCACCAGGAGGUUGUUGCUGUUAUUUUUCUACUUGUUUGGAUAUUUUGCCCUUUGCAACAUCAUCUCAGAGAGCAUGGGAGCUGAGCCACCAGCAGUGAUGAUGGAGGCUGAGGAAGGAGUUCAGAGGACACAAGAGGGAAUACUUUCCAGCCUUGAGAAACUGCCACAAAAAGGGCAGCUACAGCUUCUACACACUUUUUUCCAGCAAAUAGCCCCAAUUUCUUUUUAA